UACGAGGGGGGCGAGCGUUGUUCGGAAUUAUUGGGCGUAAAGGGUGCGUAGGCGGUUUGGUAAGUCUGAUGUGAAAUCUAUGGGCUCAACUCAUAGUCUGCAUCGGAAACUGCCGGGCUUGAGUGUGGGAGAGGUGAGUGGGAAUUCCUGGUGUAGCGGUGAAAUGCGUAGAUAUCAAGGAGGAACACCUGUGGCGAAAGCGGCUCACUGGACCAUAACUGACGCUGAUGCACGAAAGCUAGGGGGAGCAAACAGGA
rnacentral:rRNA from 1 species